rnacentral:misc_RNA from 1 species
GAAUUUAUAAUAUCCAAAUCUGGUGGGUUAGUUAUAUUUACACAUGUUCAUUAUUACCUUUUUUUUGAUGCCUGAAGCUAUAUAGUCCUGUACUGGUAUACAAUAACUGCAUUAGAUGAUAUCUGGAAGAGCCAUCUUAUUCUCUAUCAUUAAUUAGAGUUGAUGACCGCUUGGUUGCCUAUAGGUUAAAGAAAGAGUUGGACAAUG